AUGUUGAAUCUGAAUCUGAAUUUGAGGUCCAAUUUCAUUAAAACAGACUCUAACUACAGGGAAAUCUUGAUACAAGAUUCAAUACACAAACUGAAAACUAAAGAACAUAAGUUAUCUUCGCAUCUAACUCCACACCUAUCCAAGGAUAGGGCCACAGAUGCAAGUUACAUGAUUCCUAGUAUGAAAUAUCUAUGA